GAUGAACGCUGGCGGCGUGCCUAAUACAUGCAAGUCGAGCGAACAGAUGAGGAGCUUGCUCCUCUGACGUUAGCGGCGGACGGGUGAGUAACACGUGGAUAACCUACCUAUAAGACUGGGAUAACUUCGGGAAACCGGAGCUAAUACCGGAUAAUAUAUUGAACCGCAUGGUUCAAUAGUGAAAGACGGUUUUGCUGUCACUUAUAGAUGGAUCCGCGCCGCAUUAGCUAGUUGGUAAGGUAACGGCUUACCAAGACAACGAUGCGUAGCCGACCUGAGAGGGUGAUCGGCCACACUGGAACUGAGACACGGUCCAGACUCCUACGGGAGGCAGCAGUAGGGAAUCUUCCGCAAUGGGCGAAAGCCUGACGGAGCAACGCCGCGUGAGUGAUGAAGGUCUUCGGAUCGUAAAACUCUGUUAUUAGGGAAGAACAAAUGUGUAAGUAACUAUGCACGUCUUGACGGUACCUAAUCAGAAAGCCACGGCUAACUACGUG
rnacentral:rRNA from 1 species